AGAGCGAACGCUGGCGGCAUGCUUAACACAUGCAAGUCGCACGGGCAGGGGAAACCCUGUCAGUGGCGGACGGGUGAGUAACGCGUAGGUAUCUAUCCUUGGGUGGGGGACAACUGUGGGAAACUACAGCUAAUACCGCAUGAUGACCGAGGUCCAAAGGCCGCAAGGCCGCCUGGGGAGGAGCCUGCGUACGAUUAGCUAGUUGGUGGGGUAACUGCCUACCAAGGCGACGAUCGUUAGCUGGUCUGAGAGGAUGAUCAGCCACAUUGGGACUGAGACACGGCCCAAACUCCUACGGGAGGCAGCAGUGGGGAAUAUUGGACAAUGGGCGCAAGCCUGAUCCAGCAAUGCCGCGUGGGUGAAGAAGGUCUUCGGAUUGUAAAGCCCUUUCGACGGGGACGAUGAUGACGGUACCCGUAGAAGAAGCCCGGCUAACUUCGCGCCAGCAGCCGC
rnacentral:rRNA from 1 species